rnacentral:rRNA from 1 species
CCUACGGGUGGCAGCAGUGAGGAAUAUUGGUCAAUGGGCGCGAGCCUGAACCAGCCAAGUCGCGUGAGGGAAGACGGUCCUAUGGAUUGUAAACCUCUUUUGUCGGGGAGCAAAAGACGCCACGCGUGGCGUUCCGCGAGUACCCGAAGAAAAAGCAUCGGCUAACUCCGUGCCAGCAGCCGCGGUAAUACGGGGGAUGCGAGAGUUAUCCGGAUUUAUUGGGUUUAAAGGGUGCGCAGGCGGAAGAUCAAGUCAGCGGUAAAAUUGAGAGGCUCAACCCCUUCGAGCCGUUGAAACUGGUUUUCUUGAGUGAGCGAGAAGUAUGCGGAAUGCGUGGUGUAGCGGUGAAAUGCAUAGAUAUCACGCAGAACUCCGAUUGCGAAGGCAGCAUACCGGCGCUCAACUGACGCUCAUGCACGAAAGUGUGGGUAUCGAACAGGAUUAGAUACCCCAGUAGUC